CAGCCCUUGCAAUGCGGGCUUGAGAGCUUCCAUACCCGGGCCUGCCCUAGUCCACUCACUCUGGCCUCAGCGAGGUCUGAACCGUCCGGCAAGCAGGGGACAGUCCCAGAGGCAGAGGGAUCUGAGCCUGCCUUCUCCGGGACUGUGCAGAAGAGGUGCCAGGUGUGGAGAGCCCAUCUACACAAACAGACCUGAGCCAAGGACUCGAGUUUUGUGGAAUGCCGCCCGAAACCUUCAACAUCGUGUCCCAGACUUCGGAGUGUUCGAUGGUUCCCGAAAACUCCAAGCAAACUGACAGAAGAGAAGACUGAGGCCCAUGGUGGCAGGAACUUUGCCUAAGGCUGCUUGGAGUCAAGGCAAGAAUCUAGAUUGCCCCCCAAAAGUCUGAUCAUUCCAGCAAAAAGGCCAUGUUUGCAGACAGAAACUUCUGUUUUGUAUAAAGCUAACUAAUGAAAAAUAAUACAAGGAGAAUUAUGCAAUAUUGAGUGGGCUCCUAUCUGGAAAGUUUCCAACAUUUGAUUGAUGACGGCCUGGAACACGAGGGUCCCAGAUCCCAGCCCUCGUGUAUAAAGCUCAAGUCAACACAAAGUAGCAGAAUACAAAAUGACUUUUAAGCCCAGUGUUAAUUAUCACCAAAGAAGCAUAUUUUCAAAUAUGAGUGCAAAUCUCACUCUUUACCUUAAAAAAAGAAAAGUUUUAAAAACAAUGUCACCGAAUGUUAAUGCCUAGAAAUUAUGUUUGUCGAAUCCUUCUUCUUAGAGAUAAGGCCCUAAGAUUCCAAGAAGUUGCUAUUUUGCCCAAGGUCAUCCAGCUAGUUAGUGAUAAAGGGUCUCCAGAACCAUGUCCAAGCCUCCCUCUACUUCACCAGACUGCAUUCCUGCUACUGUGAGGACGGUAAAUCUCCCACUUCCAUUAA